UACAGAGGUCUCAAGCGUUGUUCGGAUUCAUUGGGCGUAAAGGGUGCGUAGGCGGCGCGGUAAGUCGGGUGUGAAAUCUCGGAGCUUAACUCCGAAACUGCAUUCGAUACUGCCGUGCUUGAGGACUGGAGAGGAGACUGGAAUUUACGGUGUAGCGGUGAAAUGCGUAGAUAUCGUAAGGAAGACCAGUGGCGAAGGCGGGUCUCUGGACAGUUCCUGACGCUGAGGCACGAAGGUCAGGUGAGCAAACGGG
rnacentral:rRNA from 1 species